AUAAGGUGCUGGCUAUCAUGUGUUUGAAGAUACCCUAAACUUAACCUAACAUAACCUAGCAAAACCCAAAACAGUCUUGACCCAGAAAAUUCAUAUAUGCUUCCUUACUAAUGAGACUUUCUAUACAACAAAGUGAGGUCAUUCUUUGUUGAUUUAUACCAUAAGGUGCUGGCUAUCAUGUGUUUGAAGAUACCCUAAACUUAACCUAACAUAACCUAGCAAAACCCAAAUCAGUCUUGACCCAGAAAAUUCAUAUAUGCUUACUUACUAAUGAGACUUUCUAUACAACAAAGUGAGGUCAUUCUUUGUUGAUUUAUACCCUAAGGUGCUGGCUAUCAUGUGUUUGAAGAUACCCUAAACUUAACCUAACAAAACCCCAAACAGUCACUAUAGGUCUUGACUCAGAAAAUUCAUAUAUGCUUCCUUACUAAUGAGACUUUCUAUACAACAAAGUGAGGUCAUUCUUUGUUGAUUUAUACCAUAAGGUGCUGGCUAUCAUGUGUUUGAAGAUACCCUAAACUUAACCUAACAUAACCUAACAAAACCCCAAACAGUCACUAUAGGUCUUGACUCAGAAAAUUCAUAUAUGCUUCCUUGCUAAUGAGACUUUCUAUACAACAAAGUGAGGUCAUUCUUUGUUGAUUUAUACCAUAAGGUGCUGGCUAUCAUGUGUUUGAAGAUACCCUAAACUUAACCUAACAAAACCCAAAACAGUCACUAUAGGCCUUGACUCAGAAAAUUCAUAUAUGCUUCCUUGCUAAUGAGACUUUCUAUACAACAAAGUGAGGUCAUUCUUUGUUGAUUUAUACCAUAAGGUGCUGGCUAUCAUGUGUUUGAAGAUACCCUAAACUUAACCUAACAUAACCUAACAAAACCCAAAACAGUCUUGACCCAGAAAAUUCAUAUAUGCUUCCUUGCUAAUGAGACUUUCUAUACAACAAAGUGAGGUCAUUCUUUGUUGAUUUAUACCAUAAGGUGCUGGCUAUCAUGUGUUUGAAGAUACCCUAAACUUAACCUAACAUAACCUAACAAAACCCAAAACAGUCUUGACCCAGAAAACUCAUAUAUGCUUCCUUGCUAAUGAGACUUUCUAUCCAACAAAGUGAGGUCAUUCUUUGUUGAUUUAUACCAUAAGGUGCUGGCUAUCAUGUGUUUGAAGAUACCCUAAACUUAACCUAACAUAACCUAACAAAACCCAAAACAGUCACUAUAGGCCUUGACCCAGAAAAUUCAUAUAUGCUUCCUUACUAAUGAGACUUUCUAUACAACAAAGUGAGGUCAUUCUUUGUUGAUUUAUACCAUAAGGUGCUGGCUAUCAUGUGUUUGAAGAUACCCUAAACUUAACCUAACAUAACCUAACAAAACCCAAAACAGUCACUAUAGGCCUUGACCCAGGAAAUUCAUAUAUGCUUCCUUGCUAAUGAGACUUUCUAUAAA